AUGUCCGCCCCCACCAGCAGCUUGGCCCGGCACCGAGCGACGCCGAGAGCUAGCCGCAUCGGGCGGUGUUGGCGCCGACGGCGCCGUCCGCGUCCACGCGCCUCUGUCGUCUCCUUCCUUCCCCCGGCUGGCCGCAUCCAUAUCCUCUCUGUCGCCGUCCGACCCAGAUGCGGCCGCAGUCCGCCGGCGCCGCAGGCGGAGGAGAGUAGAGAGGCGCCGCGGGUCAACGGCGUCAGGUGCGUCGGCGCCACGCGGCUCGACUGCCGCAACGGCACCAACACCUUCGUGCUAAUUACGCGCGGCAAGGUCCCCGACAUGACGGCCGCCGUGGUGGACUUUCGUGCCAUCCUCGCGGACUGCGCGCAGAGGUGCCUGGGUGGCUGCUCGUGCACGGCGUACGCCAGCGCCAAGCUCAGUGGCGUGCCAUGGACCAGCACACUCGAGGUCCUCCGCGUGUUCCCCAACUUCAGCCGGGACCUGUAUGUGCGCCUUGCCGCUUCUCAUCUUGGAGGGUCACGGCCAAUGCUCUCCCCGAUCUAA
rnacentral:rRNA from 1 species